CCUACGGGUGGCAGCAGUGAGGAAUAUUGGUCAAUGGACGGAAGUCUGAACCAGCCAUGCCGCGUGCAGGAAGACGGCUCUAUGAGUUGUAAACUGCUUUUGUACAGGGGUAAACCUGAAUACGUGUAUUCUGCUGAAAGUACUUUACGAAUAAGGAUCGGCUAACUCCGUGCCAGCAGCCGCGGUAAUACGGAGGAUCCAAGCGUUAUCCGGAUUUAUUGGGUUUAAAGGGUGCGUAGGCGGGUUGUUAAGUUAGAGGUGAAAUGUCCGGGCUUAACUCGGGAACUGCAAUUAAUACUGGCGAGCUAGAGAGUAGAUGCGGUAGGCGGAAUGUAUGGUGUAGCGGUGAAAUGCUUAGAGAUCAUACAGAACACCGAUUGCGAAGGCAGCUUACCAAUCUAUAUCUGACGUUGAGGCACGAAAGCGUGGGGAGCAAACAGGAUUAGAUACCCUAGUAGUC
rnacentral:rRNA from 1 species